UGCUGGAAAAAAAAAGAAAACAAUAUGUCUUUUAUAACCUUUUUGUGUAGUUCUGCUGGUGAUAAAAGCUUUUAAUAUUUUGUGUCAGAAAAAGUCUUUGUUUCAAAAGAUUAUUUUCACUAGGUAUAGAACUCUAGGUUGCCUGUUUUUUUUUCACUUUCACUGCUUUAAAGAUGUUGGGCACUAUCCUCCUCCUUGAAUUGUUUUUGACAAGGAAUCUUUUAUUUUUUCUUUUGAUCUUCUGUAUGUAAAAUAUCUUAUCUUUUAAGACAUUUAAGAGUUAUUUUUUAUCACUGGCUUUAAGAAACUUGAUGUACUUAGCAUAUUUUGUUUUCAUGUUUCUUGUGCUUGGGGUUUGUGGGGCUUCUUAGAUGGGUGAGUUUAUAGUUUCCAUCAAAUUCUGAAUAGUUUCAGCCAUUAAUAAAGUUUCCUUUUUUUUUCUAUCACACACUCUGCCUCUCUGGGGACUCCAACUGCAUGUUUAUUCAGAGACUUAGAGUUGUCCCACAACUCACUGACACUCUGCUCAUUUUUCUUUUCACUCUUUAUUUUAUGUGUGCUUUAUUAAGGGUCAUUUCAUUGCGAGGACUUCACAGUGUUGAAUCUGCCAUUAAUCCCAUCCAAUGUAUCUUUCAUGUCAUAUGUUAUAUAGCUCUCAACUGCAGAAUUUUGACUUGGGUCUUUUGUAUCACAUUUGGCAUGUUCGGUCUUUUCUCUAGCUUCUUCAACGUGUGAAAUUGUUACUUUCUUUUAAUUCCUUGUGGACUAAGUCUAUCGUCUGUGUCAUUUCUUGGAAAUUUUCAACUGGCUGAUUUUUUCCUUCAUUAUGGGUCAUAUUUUCCUGCUUCUUUGUAUGCCUGGUAACUCUUUAUUGGAUGCCAGACAUAGUGGACUGGCUGGAUAUUUUUGUAUUCCUAAAAAUACCCUUGAGUUAAGUUACUUGGAAAUAGUUUGACCCUUUCGAGUCUUGCUUUUAAGCUUUAUUCGGCAGGAACAGAACAGUAUUUAGCCUAGGGCUAAUUUUGCUUUACUAUUGAGGCAAAACCUUUCAGUACUAUACCUAAUGCCCAUAAAUUAUAAAGUUCAAGAACAGGCAAAACUAACUUAUGCCAAAAGAAAUCAGAAUAGUGAUUGACGGUAGGGUGUGGAUAUGGGAAUUUUCUGGUAUAUUGCUUAUACAAAUAUACCUAUUAAAAUUCAUCAAACUGCUCAAAAUCUGUGCAUAUCACUAUUAUAUUCAUUUUACCUCAAUAAAAAUCAAGUUUGGUAUCAAAUAUAUGUGUACAUAAUUCAGUGCUGAAAAGAUUUAUACUAAAAUUUCAAUAGUGAAGAAUAUCAGGUAGUUUUCUAAUUGGCUUCUGAAUAUUUUCAUGUUAUGUAAAUUUUCAAUAUAUAUAAUCUUCUAAAAAUACAUAAAACUAAUAUUUAAUGAAACCAUUUAAAGGGGACUCUCUACCUUGUAGAAUGUUUUUUGGGCAUUUGCCAUGUAUCAGGUCCUUUGAAAGUCACUUUAUUACAUGAUUCUAUUUAAACAAUAUAACAACUCUAUCAAGUAGGUAUUACCCCAUUUGCAAAAGAGAAAAUCGUGAUUCAGACUUGUAGUUACGUGUCCAAGGACCCUCAAUUUGAUCUUAGGUCUGCCUGCUUCUGAAGUCGGUAUUUUGAUUCUAAGAGAAUUAAGCCCUCAAGAUGGAUUUCUGAUAUUCAGAGAGUAAAGAAUGCUUGGCAGGAUGGAAGAAUCCCAGAAAUAUAUUACUGUCUAUGAGCAUAGGAAUUGGCACAUUGGAUUCUGGGAGUUAACUGUUAAAAUGGAAAAGUGAAUUAUCCAAAUGUCAGAGUCACAAAUCAAGCACAGUUAAUCUGAAACCCAAGAAAGUCUGACCUGAGACAAGGAAAGAGGUGGGUGGCUCAGAGAAAAUCCAAAAAAACAAAACAAAACAAAACUAGAUCAAGCAUGGUGAGAGAGGGAAGAAAAGUGUUCCUUCCUUAUAACCUGUAGACAAGUUAUAAAAACAAGGGUUGUUUUGUCCCCUCUUGGAGUAAAACCUCAGAGACCAAAGUUCAACGCUGUCAGGUUACAGGAAUGGAAACGGUGAAUUCCCUGUAUCAGCUGCCUCCAGCCCAGGCAAGCCUGACUCACAGGUUGGUCACCUGUUUGGAAUGGGCUGCGGGAGAGCACACCCAUGAGGCUGCCCAGAGAGCAACGGGCCACAGCAGUUUCCCUGUGAACUGUGUUCAGUUGACAACUGUGAAGGAAACACUCAUUGAUCAAGUUCUUUCAGCUUGGAAUGGAGCCUCUGACUCCCAAAAAUCUCUCCCAGGACCAACUGCAGGGGGGUAGUGGAUCUAGGAUUAAGGCUGGAGCCUGAAGCACUGCUGAGAAUGGGGAGUCUGAGAGUUCCUGGAGCGGGCACUCCCCGCCUGGGAGACCCCUGCCUUGCAGGAAGGAGUCACAUAUUCCUGAAUUGGACCCCACUCAGAUGCAGAAGGCUAAGAUUUUGGAUGAGAAAAGUGGGUCAGUGAAUGGGGGAGCUGGUGGGUGGGGUGGAUGGAAGGAGGUGCCCACUCUGGAGGGCAAGAGAAAGGCACGAAAGCAUGAGGCCACACCAGGGCUGCGUUCUGGGCCAUCCCCGGGGGACUCCUGCCUAGGGGAGGGGGUGCGUCGGCUGCAGCAGCCCAGUUUUCUGGAUUUCUUUCCUUCUGAGUCCAGGUCUUCCAGAAGCCUCUCUCCUAAAUGCUCAAAUACCAGAGUAAAUGAAAACACUCUGCGGCACAAUGGUCCCUUAAGAUUUGUUUUCCAAGAUGGAAAAGAAAGGCAUUUCAGCCCUUUCACGGAUAAAAAUAACUUGCUGUUGAUUUUGAAAUCCCUUUCAUUUGUCUCCCACAGACCGGCCCCAUACAAUGGUACUUUGUGAGAGAGCUCGCUGCAUGGGCCGGCCGGGCCCCCUGUCCUCCGCCUGCCAACGGGAGGAGACGCGAGGCGCUGGGAGCUCCAGAGUGGGCGAGGACCUCGGGCAGACCCGGCGUUGCUGUUGGACAUCAUUCAGAAGUCCCCGCUCAGCGGGGGCAGCCCAAAGAGCAAAACAAACAGAGCGAGGAGUAGUGGAAAAUGCUGAGUCCUGGAGCUGGCCGGAACAGCGUUCGCCUUUCCACGCCCGGAGCCAGCCGCUCUGCCCACCUGCAGCUGCAAUAGCAAGCAGGGCCACAGCAGGCAGGGAGGCCUUGGCACCAGAGCCCGUCCAGGGCUGAGGGCAGGGAACAGACACUCCUCUCUCUUCAGACAGGCCCUCCAGAGUCCUCGCCCUGAAGGCUGAGGUCUUUUUCUUGUUCCAGGAGUCCAGUGAAAAAAUAGUUCUCAAAAAAGGGGGAAAAAGACUUUCUUGAACUGUAGUUUCAGAUUUACUAAUAGUGUCCAUUUACAUAGCACUUACGAAAUGUCAAGCCCCAACACAGAUGAAUUGGCAAUCACCGUGUCAGUCCUGCGAGGCUGGUACUGUUAUCCCCAUUUCACAGACGAAAAAAGUCAGGCACAGAGAAGUCAAGUAACUUACCCAAGAUCACAGUGCUCAACAAUGGCAGGGCCAGGAUUUAAAACCUGGUUUUAGAUUUAAAACCUAGUUUACAGUCUUAAAGGUGACUGCCUUUUCUCUUCAGCUUAUCAAAUUUCCUCUCUAGGAAUACCAGAUGUGAGAGACAAAGAGAGGAAACUCAAGAUGGAGAGUGAAGGGAAUGAAUGAGAGAGAGAAGAAUCACCAAGGACUAGAAUAACACAAAAGAUUUCUUUAAAAAGCAGGAGGCCAUCAGCCCAGGAGAAGGAGUGUGAGACCGAGGUACAGAAGUGGCAGGAAAUGCUGAACUGGGGCUGGAAGGUGUGACAGUACGAGUCAGACAGACACCUGCUCUGUCCCGUGUCCGAAACAGGAUUCCAGAAAUAAUGUGAAGAGGUUGCUUGGCAAAGGGGGCUCACACAGCUCUGGGGGAUACUGAGGAUCAGUAGCUGGAGCAGAAAAAUAGAGAAAUGAACACCUUCUUUCUUUCUAAUUACAGUCGCAGUGGAGGCAGAUGGCCAGGGCUCCUGGGAGAGACAGAUCCUGAUAAGAAGAGAGGGCCUAUGGCUGUCAUGCAGGGAGGUCUGUCACAUUCCUCUAACCCAAGAGCUCUUGUCCCCUGUCCUCUCCUCCCACCCACACUCCUUUGCACACUGUGCUCUGGAUCCAUAAAACUACUUCCAGUUUCUCCAUCAGUGUACACACUUUCUCACCUCUCAGCCCUUGGACAUGCAUUCCCCACCACUGGAACCUCUUUCCCUCUCCACUUAACUACCUGCUACUCACCUGCAGGCCACACAUUCCUUCAGGUUAGGUUCCUCCUAUGUGUCAAAUCAUAAUGUUACUUCACUGGAUGGUAUUAUCCUUUUAUUUGUCUAUAAAUUGUAAUUUACUAGAAUCAGAGUGAAGGAAAAAGUGUUUACCUUCUUCCUUAUGGUUUCCCUGCUACUGAACCCAAUGCCAACCACACAGCAUAUGCUCAAUGGAUGUUUGUUAUCUGAAUAAAUUUGCUUGGUGGCUUCACUAUGUAGGGCACCUUCUAGAUAUAACAUCCUAUAGUUCCGUAAACUGAGAUGUCAGUGACUCUGCAUUUUCAGUUUCUGCAAACUGAGAAAGAUAAGGCCUCCCACCACCCAAUGAUCCAACUUUCUUAGUCCCCCGUUCCCAGCCUAAGCACCAUUAUUCAGCAGAUUCUUAUGUCCAUCAGAACUAAUAGAAAUAAUUAUCGUGAUCGAUACUGAAUCAGCUAGAAUCAGCUUUAAACCAGGAUGCAUUGCCUAGAAAUUGGAUUAAAUUUAGCACAGCAUGGGACUAGAGACAGUGCUAAGGGAAGAGUGAGGUCUGCAUUCCAGUACCAGUGCCAUCAUUAAUGAGGUGACACUGGGAAAGUCCUCUCGCCUUUCUAAACCUUGAAUUCAUGAAUGCCUAAUUGAAGAGGUUGCACCAGAUGAUCUUUAAAGUCUCUUUUGACUCUAAAAUGUGGAAUUUUAGAAUUCUGGCAUUUGCUCCUCAUCUCAUCAUCCUCUAGGCCAUUAUUGGGUUUAAUUAGGAGACCAUGUAAAGUAUCAUGGGACCAAUAGGAACUGCUGAGUAAUUAUGCCAGGACAAGGGAGGGACUCUGAGACGAUUCCAGGUACACCAGAAUGUGUGGUCACUCUUAUUUUAAUUUUCUUUCUGGACUGGGCUUCAGGUUUUGGACUGUCACUUGUAGUUGCAGAAAGAAGGCUCUUUGGAAUUUGUGAUCAGGGCUCUGAUCUGAGAUUUCAGAGGCCACGUGCACGGGUUCCUAGAGCAGUUAACACAUGCCACCAUCAUGCGCAUGGCACACCCGGGCCCUUCCUGCUCCAAAUGGGAAAUCUGUGCUCAGAGUUAGUACAGCCUUCCAUCCAUACCCUGCUGAGUUCAUACACCCACCCCAGCCUGCCGGUGUUCCAUGAUGAGCCAGUGAAGAAAACAUAUCCCCUUGGGCUCAUGUGCACAGCUCUGUGCUAUCAUGAUGAAAACUUGGCCAUAGAGAAAACAGAUAUUUGAAUGAAAUAUCUGUUACCCCUAAACACUGGUCAUACUGGUCAUUGUCUUCACCGUCAUUCUUACCUUGUCUCAAAUAUGGAUAAGCAUCUCACAUUACAGUUGCACUGGCUGCACUGUAUUUGCAAACUUCCUUAUUCCCAUGGAAGGCAGAACAAAUGGAACAAAGUUGGUCUACCUGAGAAGCAGAUUGGCAGAGGGAUUCCCCCAAUUCAGUCACACUUGAAGUUUUGAACUUGCCUUCCCCUGAGAUCUCUAAGAAUAAUAACUCUUUCUGAUGAACACAACACAGUUCCAAAACCAUCUGGAAGCUCCCGGUCCCAUCUCUUCUUCUAAAGUUAGGAAUAUCCUUGUUCCACAGAGGCAAUCCCAGACCAAACCCAGCAUUCAUCAUUAGCUUUUCAGGCUUGUGAAGACAGUUGCCACUUCUUUGAGUAUACCUGGACAUGUGCUAUUUCUAGGUACAUCUGGGGGACGGCCUUUGACAAGAUAUAAGAAGAGUCACAGCUGAAAUUGUAGGUUUGCCUAUAAAAAGGUUAAAAAGAGCCUGUUACUGCCCAGGGCCAGCGGCUCAGGCUGACCAUGUGGAGUGGAGAGAGAAGGUCGUGACUCUCUCUUGACCCUCACUAAUUCCCACAAGAGCCUGCUGAAAACAUCCUUGUGCUGUUAAGUUGUAUCACAUGGAAUGACCAGGGCUGACCUGAUAUCAAAGCUCUGUAGAAAUGCUGUGGUCCAGAGAGCACGAGAGCCUGAGUGGCAGGGAAGAGAGAUUAGAGAUAGGACUGUAAACUCAAACGGGCUUUGGGGAUUGUGCAGCCUGUCACGAGCCUGGCUGGCCCUUGUUGAUUUCCUAGGUUGCUGUGGGCAGAUGAUCAUCGCUAUCAUUACUUUGGAUGUCAGGACGCUGAGAUACACCAGGCAAUCUGAUGCAACUGGCUUUCCCAGGGCAGAAGCAUUUGCCAGGAAAGUAGAAACAGGGAGAGGGAUUGGAACAUUGAAUAAACCAGGAAAUGGCACUGACCAAGGGACAAAGAGGCCAGAGCCACUUUACCCCUCAUUUGGGGUUCUAAAUUCUCAUCAAAGUUUUUUUUCCUCAACUUCAAACCUUGUGGCAUUUUCACCAAUUGAUCAACAACUGCCUUUAUCAGACUCCUUAAAUCUCUGCCUCACUGCAAAAAGUGCCAGGAGGAAUGCUUUUCUCUUCUGUUAGUUAGGUGAGGAUUCUCUUGGCAUGGAGGGAUCUCACAGAGUAAGGAGAUGCCAGCUGCAUGCCGAGUCAAUAUGCCCAUAAAUGCAAGGGCCAAGUCCUUAAUCCAGCCACGAGGAGGGUCAAGGAUCCCUGUAUACAAGCCAGAGAGGGGAUUCUGUACAACUAGAACUGCGUCGCAAACCACCUUCCAGAGCAGCCCCUGGGGAAAAGCAGAGGUCAAAAAGCAGUAUGGAAGUUUAAAGGCUUACUUACUGAAAGAAGCCUUUGUCCUUGUCCCGUAUUUGAUGUAUGAAAUGUACCCCUUAGUAACCAGGCCUGUGGCUCCCAGAGCUGGUGAGCCAUCAGCCAGCAUCAUCAAAAGGGACUUUUCAGAGUUCUAGGCCAGCAAUACGGCGUCAUGGAAAGAACGGGGCUUAGAAGUCAGAUGGUUCUCUGAUGAACCUGAUGACCUCUUGUACUCUCUUCCACUGUAGGCUCUAGAAUAAAAUGAGCUUCAUGCCAAAUAAACCUGGAAUGUGGAUAGAUAUCUACACAGGGGUCACAAAAUUAAAUUCUACAGGGACAAGGCAGGAAUGUCAAUGUGUGGGCCUGGCCUAUGAGAGAUAAAAUAGGAGACUGACAUGCACCUAAAGGAAGCAGCUUCAGUUCAGUGCCCAUGGUGGUUGCUAUGAAGGAAUAUGCUAGAAUCCAAAGACAUCCUAUUACCCUACUACAGUACAUUCUUCUCUUGGGUUUCCUACACUGUGAAGGCUGAAGUGCACAUCUCUAUGGUAUGGAAGCAGCCCGUGUGUGACGUCUGGUUCACAUUGUUUGCCUUAUUGUACCCAAAGCACAAAUCACAAUCGUUUCCCUUUUUAGGUUAAAAUAGUUACAUUUCAUUCAUACACCUCUGCCGAUCCACUCUUUUUUCUUUUUGUCUUGGGUGCUGUAGCUUGCUCCAAAGUUAUAGCAGUCGAGUCAGAGUAGACUUGGUUCAUUUUCUUAUCCUAUCACCUCCUGAAAGCUGUUCAAAUCUACAGAGUGUGAUCAUCACCUCCACUUUCCCUUGUGUCUCCUUCUAUCCUCACCCUGCCCGAUCUUCCCAAAUUGUGCAGUUGCUUUGAAAGAUAGUCUCCCCUCCAGACCUCCACCACUGCAGCUUCAACCAUGGUCUCAGCAGUAUUGUUAAGAGAAAUCACCAAAGCCCGGUUGCCUGAGGGUUCCUCAUCUGAACUCUAGCUCCUAGUGGGAGAAGGGUAGGCCUAAGCUGAUUUCAUUCAAGUACAUCUUGCAUCUUUGACCCUGGUGAGCAUUAAGUCAGGUACUUGGAGGGAUAACAGCAACUUGGCACUGAAGGAAAGCUCUCUGGUUGAAUCCUUGACUGAAGCAGAAACCUAUUCUCUGUGUGCUGUUUAUUCAGAAGAGUUCAAAUGUGGCCUCAGGUUGGCUCAGGAAUUGUGGCUUUGCCCAGGUUUGCAGUUGAAAACUAAAAACAAAAUGUAAGGACCUGAAGCCAUUUUUCCCAAAGUCUCCAAUAAAUGUUAGUGGCUUGACCAGGAUUCAGGGGCUGGAGGCUUCUUCGCGGCCAGUCCUGCUCCCUGACCACCAGACCACACAGUCCGUGCUUAACGUGUACUCAGCAAACCUCAAGCUCCAGGCCUGAAGAAACAGAUUUUCCAAAAACAGAGCUCUCUUUGUGAACAAUUCAGCAAAAAUUCACUUUCCAGCUGUGAGCUGGGAUUCAUGUUGCAAAUGUUGGUGUUAAUUAAAAACAUCCACCUUCUACAGUUUCAGCAACAAGGAAAAAGCACCAUGCACGAUGUGUUCCUAAGCAGUCCCCUCCAAAGCACUUAUAAAUAUGAUUUUAUUUAUGGCAUGGGUUGCUAGGGGUUCUGACAGAUAUUAUUAUUCCCAAUCUUCAGCCCCAGUGAAAGAGUUGGGGCCAAGGAGAUGGAUGUGAAGGGCCCAAGUUGCCACAGAGCAAAAUUACUAUCAAUGGUGGACACAAGAAUACUGCUCCUUUCCCACAGGAUCCACUAAAGAUGUUCAAUUUUCUGUAUUCAUAUCAGGAACGGUACCUAGCUGAAAUCAAAUGUUUAUCUGUUGAGUCAUUAAAAAUUUUCUUCACAUGGCUCUUAGUCCUUCAGACAUGAAGAAAUUAGGUCUGACAAGGCCAGGGACAUUCUACAAAGGAUGACAAAAUAUAUUCAAUGUUUGGGAUGUUUGAUGACUUCCCUAUAUUCCUAUUAUAGUUCUCACCUUAUUAGGAAAUCUUUAUCACCAAUGGUCCUGAGCUAGUGAGAUCUGAAAGACUAAACUGCAUCCCUCUGUGCUCGCCUCUGGUUGGUUGAUUUGUUCUGCUUUAAUACAUGAUCCAGACAAGAAAGAAUCAAGCCAAAGCCACAGCAUUAUGAAUGAAAUUCUUUGUUUUUAAUUUCACACAGUUUAAAAUACAAUAUGAAAUCAGGCUACAGUAUAUAAAAAACUCUCCAGCAAAAUGAUGUGCCAGCAUCAGCUACUAAAAUAAACAAACAAAAAACUCCGCCAUAAGAAUUUUUUUGCAUUU